rnacentral:rRNA from 1 species
ACGAACGCUGGCGGCGUGCUUAACACAUGCAAGUCGAACGAAGAGCGAUGGAAGCUUGCUUCUAUCAAUCUUAGUGGCGAACGGGUGAGUAACGCGUAAUCAACCUGCCCUUCAGAGGGGGACAACAGUUGGAAACGACUGCUAAUACCGCAUACGAUCUAAUCUCGGCAUCGAGGAUAGAUGAAAGGUGGCCUCUACAUGUAAGCUAUCACUGAAGGAGGGGAUUGCGUCUGAUUAGCUAGUUGGAGGGGUAACGGCCCACCAAGGCGAUGAUCAGUAGCCGGUCUGAGAGGAUGAACGGCCACAUUGGGACUGAGACACGGCCCAGACUCCUACGGGAGGCAGCAGUGGGGAAUCUUCCGCAAUGGACGAAAGUCUGACGAAGCAACGCCGCGUGAGUGAUGACGGCCUUCGGGUUGUAAAGCUCUGUUAAUCGGGACGAAAGGCCUUCUUGCGAAUAGUGAGAAGGAUUGACGGUACCGGAAUAGAAAGCCACGGCUAACUACGUG